rnacentral:sRNA from 1 species
CCCUAGCCCUGAUGGAAGCGGCAUCCUUUUAUGUCCGCCGCGGCGGACAUAAAAGAUAUAGUGUACAGCAGGAAAUAGC